AUGGAGAGGCAGAUGAGCAAGAUAUACACCAACAAGAUUUUUAACAAAUUCCAGGAAGAAAUAAAGUGUGCCAGCAUGUACACGGCUUUCCAGGUGGACGAACAUACGGUCAAGGUGUGUUCUAUCCUAGGCAUGUCGGAUUCAGAACCUGAAGACCUGGACAAGGGAAGGAACUACUUUGUGAAGGCAUCGAUAAGCGAAGGCGAAUACUACUGCCAAUGCUGCAAAUUCGAACGGGACGGGAUUGUGUGCUGUCACAUUCUAAAAGUAAUGGACGUGAACGCGGUGACACGAAUUCCCCGCCAUUUCAUAAGUCGGCGAUGGAAUUGGGACGCUGACGACGCAUUGGCGCCGCAAACAUCAAACGCAGUUUUGGCCGUGCAUGACGAGAGACCAGAGUCAACCAUGGAAGCCGUGAGGCACGUUGUGUUGACAAAGAACUAUGCUGACCUAAUUGAUGAAGCGUGCAAGAGUGAUGAGACAGCAAGGGUCGCAGAAAAACACAGGACGGCCCUCAAAAGAGAGCUUGAUGAGAUCAAGAAGAGGAAAGCUGAGGAAGCCUUACACAGGUUCCCCCGCACAUCAAGCGUGCCUUCGUCCACAGGGCCAUCAUCUGAAAACUCGGAGGUAGGAUCUGGAACAGCAAGCACACAAACACAGGUUAGGAACCCGCCCCGUUCCAUCACAAAAGGGCGUCCAAAAGAGAUAAGAUACAAAUCGGGAUUGGAGAUUCAAGCAAAACACAAGAAACCAAAGAAAGGGACGGGCAAUCCGUAA
rnacentral:rRNA from 1 species